rnacentral:rRNA from 1 species
GAUGAACGCUGGCGGCGUGCCUAAUACAUGCAAGUCGAGCGAACGGACGAGAAGCUUGCUUCUCUGAUGUUAGCGGCGGACGGGUGAGUAACACGUGGAUAACCUACCUAUAAGACUGGGAUAACUUCGGGAAACCGGAGCUAAUACCGGAUAAUAUUUUGAACCGCAUGGUUCAAAAGUGAAAGACGGUCUUGCUGUCACUUAUAGAUGGAUCCGCGCUGCAUUAGCUAGUUGGUAAGGUAACGGCUUACCAAGGCAACGAUGCAUAGCCGACCUGAGAGGGUGAUCGGCCACACUGGAACUGAGACACGGUCCAGACUCCUACGGGAGGCAGCAGUAGGGAAUCUUCCGCAAUGGGCGAAAGCCUGACGGAGCAACGCCGCGUGAGUGAUGAAGGUCUUCCGAUCGUAAAACUCUGUUAUUAGGGAAGAACAUAUGUGUAAGUAACUGUGCACAUCUUGACGGUACCUAAUCAGAAAGCCACGGCUAACUACGUGCCAGCAGCCGCGGUAAUACGUAGGUGGCAAGCGUUAUCCGGAAUUAUUGGGCGUAAAGCGCGCGUAGCGGUUUUUUAAGUCUGAUGUGAAAGCCCACGGGCUCACCGUGGAGGGUCAUUGGAAACUGGAAAACUUGAGUGCAGAAGAGGAAAGUGGAAUUCCAUGUGUAGCGGUGAAAUGCGCAGAGAUAUGGAGGAACACCAGUGGCGAGGGCGACUUUCUGGUCUGUAACUGACGCUGAUGUGCGAAAGCGUGGGGAUCAAACAGGAUUAGAUACCCUGGUAGUCCACGCCGUAAACGAUGAGUGCUAAGUGUUAGGGGGUUUCCGCCCCUUAGUGCUGCAGCUAACGCAUUAAGCACUCCGCCUGGGGAGUACGACCGCAAGGUUGAAACUCAAAGGAAUUGACGGGGACCCGCACAAGCGGUGGAGCAUGUGGUUUAAUUCGAAGCAACGCGAAGAACCUUACCAAAUCUUGACAUCCUUUGACAACUCUAGAGAUAGAGCCUUCCCCUUCGGGGGACAAAGUGACAGGUGGUGCAUGGUUGUCGUCAGCUCGUGUCGUGAGAUGUUGGGUUAAGUCCCGCAACGAGCGCAACCCUUAAGCUUAGUUGCCAUCAUUAAGUUGGGCACUCUAAGUUGACUGCCGGUGACAAACCGGAGGAAGGUGGGGAUGACGUCAAAUCAUCAUGCCCCUUAUGAUUUGGGCUACACGCGUGCUACAAUGGACAAUACAAAGGGCAGCGAAACCGCGAGGUCAAGCAAAUCCCAUAAAGUUGUUCUCAGUUCGGAUUGUAGUCUGCAACUCGACUACAUGAAGCUGGAAUCGCUAGUAAUCGUAGAUCAGCAUGCUACGGUGAAUACGUUCCCGGGUCU